CUAGCAUAUCAAUAAGCGGAGGAAAAGAAACUAACAAGGAUUCCCUAGUAACUGCGAGUGAAGCGGGAAAAGCUCAAAUUUAAAAUCUGGCGGUCUCUGGCCGUCCGAGUUGUAAUCUAGAGAAGUAAUGCCCGUGCUGGACCGUGUAUAAGUCUCCUGGGAUGGGGCGUCAUAGAGGGUGAGAAUCCCGUCUUUGACACGGACUACCAGUGCAUUGUGGUAUGCUCUCAAAGAGUCGAGUUGUUUGGGAAUGCAGCUCAAAAUGGGUGGUAAAUUCCAUCUAAAGCUAAAUAUUGGCGAGAGACCGAUAGCGAACAAGUACCGUGAGGGAAAGAUGAAAAGAACUUUGGAAAGAGAGUUAAACAGUACGUGAAAUUGCUGAAAGGGAAACGCUUGAAGUCAGUCGCGUUGGCCGGGGAUCAGCCUUGCUUUUGCAUGGUGUACUUUCUGGUUGACGGGUCAGCAUCAAUUUUGACCGCUGGAAAAAGACCUGGGGAAUGUGGCAGCUUCGGCUGUGUUAUAGCCCCUAGUCGCAUACAGUGGUUGGGAUUGAGGAACUCAGCACGCCGCAAGGCCGGGUUUCGACCACGUUCGUGCUUAGGAUGCUGGCAUAAUGGCUUUAAGCGACCCGUCUUGAAACACGGACCAAGGAGUCUAACAUGCCUGCGAGUAUUUGGGUGGAAAACCCAAGUGCGUAAUGAAAGUGAAAGUUGAGAUCCCUGUCGUGGGGAGCAUCGACGCCCGGACCAGAACUUUUGGGACGGAUCCGCGGUGGAGCAUGUAUGUUGGGACCCGAAAGAUGGUGAACUAUGCCUGAAUAGGGUGAAGCCAGAGGAAACUCUGGUGGAGGCUCGUAGCGAUUCUGACGUGCAAAUCGAUCGUCAAAUUUGGGUAUAGGGGCGAAAGACUAAUCGAACCAUCUAGUAGCUGGUUCCUGCCGAGU
rnacentral:rRNA from 1 species